rnacentral:lncRNA from 1 species
GAGACUUGCCCUGAGACCCUAAGUAGCCACAAGGGAAUCGAGAACCGGAAGUGAGCUUGUGUUCACAUCUCGUUUUCCAAUCUUGCAAAUUCAGUCACAGAGAAAGGACAGCUAACGGUAGCUAGACCAGAGCUCUUAAGGUCAACCCUUACACAACAGCCGAUACGAUGAGUUAAGCUAAAACAUAGGAAAUGCCACCAAUAGGGAUCCGCUCGGGAAGAGGAAGGAAUUCCAGUAAAGAGGUUCUUUAUAUAUAACCUAGCCUAGCUCAACGCUACGGAAAGGUCAUAUAUGACUCAACGAAAAGGCAAGUCCUUCGGUUCGAGUGAUGGUUCACCAGUAAGAGAUCAACGAAAAGCAAAGAUCUCUCGGGCAAGUGCUCUAGACGGAUUCCCUGGAAGAACAGCAGGAUUCGGGGUCAGCUUUCUCAUCAUAAAGAAGCGAAAAUGAAGAGGAUGGUUGUAGCUCCGGUGCUAUCCCGUAAUCCUUCCAAUCAUUGAAAAAGCCUGAUUUUAGGGGGACCUGCCUUCCAAGACUGAACUAGCGAGCAAGAAUUACGAAAGUAAGGUCAGUGACAGAUCUCCGAAGAAGAUCUUGUUUCGGUCUAUAUGGGAUUGGGCUGCUUGGGGCGCUGCUUACCCUUUUCUUCGAAACCUCUCCUCCCUUUCUCAGGAAGUUAUUUGAUUGAGGACAAAAUCUCGCUAGAAGUAUCGUAAUGAACGAGAUGGGCUAGACCCGUGCUAAACCCAUGUAUCCCGACCUACGACCACCAACUAAGGUUGUAUACAAAUAUGAUAAUAGCUCUUGGAAAUAGGCGCUUUUAAGCAGUUCAUUCGCUAAGAAGCAGUGGAAUUGCUUUAAACAAGCACAUUGGACAUUGUCAAAAGAAAAGAAACUAAUAGGAUAACUUUUCUUUUUAUACGAUAUUUCAUAAAAUAAUAAAGAUUGGAACUAGGUCAUAGGAGGUCACUACAGCUAGGGCGGGUUAGAUCACAUGUUGCUCUUGGUUGCGAAUUCAUCUUUCAAGGUUAGACUUGAGAGUCUUACGCAUAGAUUCCACAUUCUCUACGAUAAUCAAAAUUCUUCUUACGAAGCGAGGUCAGGCACUGAAUGAACAGAGGAACUGCGGCCCAUAGACUUACCAACCGACAGACGUGGAAAGACGUAAAACGGGGCAUGGAUGAAAGGGUUCCCUUGGUAGGGGCAUGAAGGACAUAGCAGGUUUGGAAAAAAAAGAUAGAUUUGGAAGGCAGACCUUGUUCAUAUAUGACUUUUAGCUUUUCGAAACUCGUUAGAAAUCAGGUUAUGAAAGAAAGCCAGUAGCACGGCAUCCGUUUGAGCAGUAGAAACUUCUCAGGGAAUUGUCCCAACCCGCCCAUGCUGAAUAGUUGACCUAUAGAGUCAGAAAGAUCGGAAAAAGCAAGCAAUAGGUUAUGAAAGAAAGGGAUGGAGGGGAAAGAAAGGUUAUGAAAUAAAAGAAAGCCUUGGGCCAGUUGUCUUUAAUAUGACUAUUGUGCUAAGGCAUCGGUUUUAGGAUACAUUCAUAUAUGACCUAUCAAAUGAUAAGUGCGAAGCGCUAGUGUUUAGCUAGUCUGCCUUCUCCGAAAAAGAAUACGCUGAUUUAGCCAAUCCGGUGUUUUAUAAUCCGCUGUUGAGGCUAUCUUCGUUAACUACAGGACUCAAACCUCGAAAGAGAAGGUUGCUUGCAAAUGACCUAAGGUGCUCAUUGUCAUUCUAUUCCCUUCGACAUGGNNNNNNNNNNNNNNNNNNNNACCAGAAUCCGUAGUGGGGACAAAGACGGUGAUAGAAUCCGCCUUACCUAAUGCCUUUCCUUGGGCAAACAAUAGGUUGUGCAAGACAAGAAAUAGAAUGCAAACUGUAGCUAGUGGGAUAGAUUCAGUAUUCAUCUUUCUCUAGACUAGCAAUUCCGCAUUGCCCUUUCGUGUCGUGCUAGCCCUUGGAAGGCCCUCGUACUAUAAUGCCAUUGCCGCUUUGCUGGAUGAGAGAAAGAACCAUAAGCAUUAGAUAGAGUAGCGGGAAGGGAGGACUUUAUACCCGGCAAUCUCCAUUGGCUUGGUUUCAGUGAGUUCAAGAGAUGAGGCACGGAGUGAGUUCAAUUCCCUUUCCAAACCUUAACUCAACGGGGCACUCAUCUU